UGCCAGCCGCCGCGGUAAUACGGAGAUGGCAACCGUUGUUCGGAAUCACUGGGCUUAAAGCGCACGUAGGCGGGAAGAUAAGUUGAUUGUGAAAGCCCCUGGCUUACCCAGGGAAUUGCAUUCAAUACUGUCUUUCUUGAGGAAUGAAGGGGAGAGUGGAACUCCUAGUGGAGCGGUGAAAUGCGUUGAUAUUAGGAGGAACGCCGGUGGCGAAAGCGACUCUCUGGUCAUUAUCUGACGCUGAGGUGCGAAAGCCAGGGGAGCAAACGGGAUUAGAUA
rnacentral:rRNA from 1 species